CUCUCAGUGGCUCAGUUGGUUUAGCGCGUUCGGCUGUAAUUGUAACACAUUUGUCACCGAAAGGUCACCUGUUCGACUCAGGUCUGAGAGA
rnacentral:tRNA from 1 species